UGGGGAAUAUUGGACAAUGGGCGCAAGCCUGAUCCAGCCAUGCCGCGUGAACGAUGAAGGCCUUAGGGUUGUAAAGUUCUUUUGUCAGGGAAGAUAAUGACGGUACCUGAAGAAUAAGCACCGGCUAACUUCGUGCCAGCAGCCGCGGUAAUACGAAGGGUGCUAGCGUUGUUCGGAAUUACUGGGCGUAAAGCGUGCGCAGGCGGUUAUAUAAGACAGAUGUGAAAUCCCCGGGCUCAACCUGGGACCUGCAUUUGUGACUGUAUAGCUAGAGUACGGUAGAGGGGGAUGGAAUUCCGCGUGUAGCAGUGAAAUGCGUAGAUAUGCGGAGGAACACCGAUGGCGAAGGCAAUCCCCUGGACCUGUACUGACGCUCAUGCACGAAAGCGUGGGGAGCAAACAGGAUUAGAUACCCCCGUAGUCCCUGAGCGGGCUGGCAAGGCGCAU
rnacentral:rRNA from 1 species